UUUGAUCCUGGCUCAGGAUGAACGCUGGCGGCGUGCCUAAUACAUGCAAGUCGAACGCGCAGCGAGAGGUGCUUGCACCUUUCAAGCGAGUGGCGAACGGGUGAGUAACACGUGGAUAACCUGCCUCAAGGCUGGGGAUAACAUUUGGAAACAGAUGCUAAUACCGAAUAAAACUUAGUAUCGCAUGAUAUCAAGUUAAAAGGCGCUACGGCGUCACCUAGAGAUGGAUCCGCGGUGCAUUAGUUAGUUGGUGGGGUAAAGGCUUACCAAGACGAUGAUGCAUAGCCGAGUUGAGAGACUGAUCGGCCACAUUGGGACUGAGACACGGCCCAAACUCCUACGGGAGGCUGCAGUAAGGAAUCUUCCACAAUGGGCGCAAGCCUGAUGGAGCAACGCCGCGUGUGUGAUGAAGGCUUUCGGGUCGUAAAGCACUGUUGUAUGGGAAGAAAUGCUAAAAUAGGGAAUGAUUUUAGUUUGACGGUACCAUACCAGAAAGGGACGGCUAAAUACGUGCCAGCAGCCGCGGUAAUAAGGG
rnacentral:rRNA from 1 species